rnacentral:rRNA from 1 species
CGUAGGGUGCAAGCGUUAUCCGGAAUUAUUGGGCGUAAAGGGCUCGUAGGCGGUUCGUCGCGUCCGGUGUGAAAGUCCAUCGCUUAACGGUGGAUCCGCGCCGGGUACGGGCGGGCUUGAGUGCGGUAGGGGAGACUGGAAUUCCCGGUGUAACGGUGGAAUGUGUAGAUAUCGGGAAGAACACCAAUGGCGAAGGCAGGUCUCUGGGCCGUUACUGACGCUGAGGAGCGAAAGCGUGGGGAGCGAACAGGAUUAGAUACCCUGGUAGUCCACGCCGUAAACGGUGGAUGCUGGAUGUGGGGCCCGUUCCACGGGUUCCGUGUCGGAGCUAACGCGUUAAGCAUCCCGCCUGGGGAGUACGGCCGCAAGGCUAAAACUCAAAGAAAUUGACGGGGGCCCGCACAAGCGGCGGAGCAUGCGGAUUAAUUCGAUGCAACGCGAAGAACCUUACCUGGGCUUGACAUGUUCCCGACGAUCCCAGAGAUGGGGUUUCCCUUCGGGGCGGGUUCACAGGUGGUGCAUGGUCGUCGUCAGCUCGUGUCGUGAGAUGUUGGGUUAAGUCCCGCAACGAGCGCAACCCUCGCCCCGUGUUGCCAGCGGAUCGUGCCGGGAACUCACGGGGGACCGCCGGGGUUAACUCGGCGGAAGGUGGGGAUGACGUCAGAUCACCAUGCCCCUUACGUCCAGGGCUUCACGCAUGCUACAAUGGCCGGUACAACGGGAUGCGACGCGGCGACGCGGAGCGGAUCCCUGAAAACCGGUCUCAGUUCGGAUCGCAGUCUGCAACUCGACUGCGUGAAGGCGGAGUCGCUAGUAAUCGCGAAUCAGCAACGUCGCGGUGAAUGCGUUCCCGGGCCUUGUACACACCGCCCGUCAAGUCAUGAAAGUGGGCAGCACCCGAAGCCGGUGGCCUAACCCCUUGUGGGAUGGAGCCGUCUAAGGUGAGGCUCGUGAUUGGGACUA